rnacentral:rRNA from 1 species
UACAGAGGGGGCAAGCGUUGUUCGGAAUUACUGGGCGUAAAGGGCGCGUAGGCGGCCUGCUAAGUCGAACGUGAAAUCCCCGGGCUCAACCCGGGAACUGCGUCCGAUACUGACAGGCUUGAAUCCGGGAGAGGGAUGUGGAAUUCCAGGUGUAGCGGUGAAAUGCGUAGAGAUCCGGAGGAACACCGGUGGCGAAGGCGGCAUCCUGGACCGGUAUUGACGCUGAGGCGCGAAAGCUAGGGGAGCAAACGGG